rnacentral:lncRNA from 1 species
AGAGCCAUCAUAAGCAGCCAUUGGGGGGGUGUUUGUGAGUGGGGGGAGGGGGGCGCCUCUUAAAACAUCGUGACUGGGUGGGGGUGGCAUGCCACUUAAACCAUUUUGGGUUUAAUAAAUGAACUGGAGGCACGAACCGGUAGUGGUUUUUAAGUGAACUAGGGGGUGGAGAGGGGUUUUAUAACCAACCCGAUCCGACCCGCUAAACCAUUCCGACUUGGCGCCGAUUUGGUUUGGUAUGGGCUGAACCACCCUAUUCAGGUCAGUUUGACAAACCAUGCUUUCAAGGCUUUCAUUUAUGUACUUUGAGGUAAUUAUCAUUAUUGUAUCUCAAUUUGAUAGUUGAAAUAUAUUAUAUUUAUAUAAAUUAUGUUGAAUUAUGUUAAUAAAUAUAUAAAAGUAAUUAUUGAAGUAGUAUAUCAUACAAUAUAAUUUCUUUAUUUAUUUACAUCCGCCUUAAUUGAGUUGAGAUCGAGUGAGCUAAGUCUUGCUUUAUGUUGGGUCACUUGCUAAUCAAUCGAGCUGGAUUUUGAGCUAAACAUGAGUUAGCUUGUGAAUAACUUGAUUGUUUGAGAGCCAUUUUACUAUGCCACUACAAAUAGGCAACAAAUUCUCCAAAACAUGUUAUCUUCAUUUCAUCUUGCUUUUACAACUUGUGCAUUUUUGAAUUAAGACUAGAACUUUAGUGUUCCAGUGUUUUAACAUAAUAAUCUUACGUCUCAACUAAGGUUUGAAAUCUCGGUACAGGACACCAUUUUACCAUCUUUGUACAAUGUCGGUACACAUGGUAUGGGGUGUGUUUGGUGUACCGAUACUUGGUAGUCGGUACGCCCAUCGUAUUGCAUAUCGGUUCGGUACCUGUAUGGUCUGGUACUCUCAUAUGUAUUGGUACAAAUCGCUAUGGCAUACCACUGUCUCAACUCUCAACCAUUCAAACUAUAGUGAUCAAGGCAAGCCAAGCCAUGCCGAAUCGUCCAUUUCAGGACGUAUUGAAUUGGACUAGUCAAUUAGUAGCACAACUCAGCACGUCGAAAUGGGAUAAAUGCUCUCGACUCAAAAACGAAGGCUUGAAGCCCUCCGGCUCUCUUGGUAUCUUGUUUGAAGCCCUUUGUCCCCGUUGAUGAUGACGAUGACGUCCCGACCAGGUGAUAUCCCCUUUUCUCUCUCUCGACGCCUUGUUUGAAGCCCUCGGUUCUUGUCACCUCCUCCUUGGGACUCAUCGGAUAGCUUGAACCUAUUUGAAGCCCUCGGUCCCUAUUGCCUCCUCUGCCUUGUCGGACGGCUCGAACUUGUUCUAAGCUCUUGGUUCUCGUCGCCUCCUCCUUCGGCCUCUGUCCUAUUGUUGUUGGAUGCUUCUCUCUCCAUGUUUGGUCUCUCUCACUCUCAGUUGGGUCCAGAGUCUCCCCCCUCUCCUUCCUCUCCCUC